GACGGUGGGCAACACCGGAACAUGCUGGGAUGCUAAUGGGAAGGAUCUGGCGGAGCAGGAGAGAGAGCUGGUGUAGCAGAGCCAAGGUCCACUGGGGUGCGCGGGAGGCGAUGGGGUCCAGACCUCUGCUCCUGCCUGCUUCCCUCUGCCCACGGUCAGGGCCGCCCUCGCCUUAGCCCAGGCUCACUUGUCUGACCCUCCAGAACCAGGAUCACUGCUUCUGGUACCUUCCUGGGGUCCUACAAGACAACUUGGUCGUCCCCAGGGGCACAGCAGGCUUAUGGCUGGGUUACAGCUUUUCUCGUGUAUUCUUGAGGAUGGGGAGUCCUACACAGGCGCCUGCGCAGCAGCACUGCGAAUCCAGCUUCUAGGAUCAGCCCCGGGUAGAAGAAGAAACAGAAAUGGAGACAGAGCCCAGCUCCCAUCAGCCCAAGGAGACACAUCAAGCCGGGAGAGAGGUCAGAGGUGAUGGGAUGGGGUGGGGGUGGGGGGCGGGGAGGCACCUGAAUUCCUCUCUCCCAGCUCCCAGGGAUCCUCAGGUAUUUUUUAAUUAAGCCGAGGAGAAGCAACAGGGACCCUCUGGAAUGUAAACAUCAGAUAAGCCCAGGCCCCCCUCCUCUAUUUUGUGUCUUCCAGGGUGAACACCACAUUCUUUCCCAGGAGCUAGUUCCCGCCCCUCUGGUUCCUGCGGGUCAUGUCUCCCUUGGGGGGAAGGAGUCUGCCUCUCAAGUUCUUUCCAUGUCCCCUCCCCAGCCUUUGUCUCGGUCUUUGGGCCUUUUUGUAACCCCAGGGGCUUCGUAGUCUCAGGUGGGGCCUGUGCUUGGGAACCUGGAGGGGACUUCAGAUUUUAAUCAGUAUGUGGGUAUCUCUUUGGGUUCUUGCUGUGGGAUUUUGACCUCUGCUGUGGGCCUCUGUACCCUGUGUCUUCUGGGAUGGUACAGCGCUCCCCAGCGUUGGGCCAAUCCAAUGCGAACAGCUACUGCCAUCCAACACGUGGCGCUGGGCACCCCAAGUACUGAAAGAAUAUUCCGGGCGGGUGGCGCUAAUCAGAGGUGCCCAGAGGAGAGGGCAUCGGCAGCCAGCGGGUGCCGCGGUUACAGAGAAGGCCUCAGGGAGGAGGCGGGUUCGCCUACUUGAGGG
rnacentral:lncRNA from 1 species